rnacentral:lncRNA from 1 species
CUUUCCUGGUCGACGAUUUGGUUGGCUACCUCGACUUGGCAGGCUAUACUCUUUCUGAUUCGGCUGCCACCAAUUGGGUCGUCUUGAGUGUGGGUCCGGCGUCCCUAGUGACAGAUCUUAGGAUUUGGGUACAAGGCAUUAGAUCCAUCGACUUCAAACUUCUUCGUCUCCAUUAUCUUCCCCGAGAAUGAAUACUGGAGCUUCAGCCGAUCAGGCGGUAAACACCGUUACUUCGCUGUUGGCGGCCUUGGCGCUUGCACCAGCGCCUACGGUCGCUUCGCCCGAUCAGCCUUCUGGGUCUCAACCUCGGGCUGUCCCUAUUCCUACUGCCGUGGAUCCGGCACCGCUUCCUUUUAUUCCGCUUUUUUUUCCUUUGCCGGUCAACGGUGACACUACAAUGUCCGAUUCACAGCCGGGCACUGUUACUCGGCGCCUGCACCCCCUCGAUCCUCCGCAGCCCGACAGACGUCGCCUUGUUUCAGUGGACGCUGCGGCAAAAGUGCAAUUGAGUUUGCCCGACUACAUUUCUUUCCUGGUCGACGAUUUGGUUGGCUACCUCGGCUUGGCAGGCUAUACUCUUUCUGAUUCGGCUGCCACCAAUUGGGUCGUCUUGAGUGUGGGUCCGGUGUCCCUAGUGACAGAUCUUAGGAUUUGGGUACAAGGCAUUAGAUCCAUCGACUUCAAACUUCUUCGUCUCCAUUAUCUUCCCCGAGAAUGAAUACUGGAGCUUCAGCCGAUCAGGCGGUAAACACCGUUACUUCGCUGUUGGCGGCCUUGGCGCUUGCACCAGCGCCUACGGUCGCUUCGCCCGAUCAGCCUUCUGGGUCUCAACCUCGGGCUGUCCCUAUUCCUACUGCCGUGGAUCCGGCACCGCUUCCUUUUCCGCUUUUUUUCCUUUGCCGGUCAACGGUGACACUACAAUGUCCGAUUCACAGCCGGGCACUGUUACUCGGCGCCUGCACCCCCUCGAUCCUCCGCAGCCCGACAGACGUCGCCUUGUUUCAGUGGACGCUGCGGCAAAAGUGCAAUUGAGUUUGCCCGACUACAUUUCUUUCCUGGUCGACGAUUUGGUUGGCUACCUCGGCUUGGCAGGCUAUACUCUUUCUGAUUCGGCUGCCACCAAUUGGGUCGUCUUGAGUGUGGGUCCGGUGUCCCUAGUGACAGAUCUUAGGAUUUGGGUACAAGGCAUUAGAUCCAUCGACUUCAAACUUCUUCGUCUCCAUUAUCUUCCCCGAGAAUGAAUACUGGAGCUUCAGCCGAUCAGGCGGUAAACACCGUUACUUCGCCGUUGGCGGCCUUGGCGCUUGCACCAGCGCCUACGGUCGCUUCGCCCGAUCAGCCUUCUGGGUCUCAACCUCGGGCUGUCCCUAUUCCUACUGCCGUAGAUCCGGCACCGCUUCCUUCGCCGGUCAACGGUGACACUACAAUGUCCGAUUCACAGCCGGGCACUGUUACUCUGUGCCUGCACCCCUUCGAUCCUCCGCAGCCCGACAGACGUCGCCUUGUUUCAGUGGACGCUGCGGCCAAGGUGCAAUUG